UGAUGAUGAUGAUGAUGAUGAUGAUGAUGAUGAUGAUGAUGAUAAUAAUAAUAAUAACGAUAAUAAUAGUAACGAUAAUGAUAAUGAUAAUUAACAUCAUCAUCAUCAUCAUCAUCAUCAUCAAAAUUA
rnacentral:pre_miRNA from 1 species